rnacentral:rRNA from 1 species
CGGCUACCACAUCUAAGGAAGGCAGCAGGCGCGUAAAUUACCCAAUCCUGACUCAGGGAGGUAGUGACAAGAAAUAGCAAACCGGGAACCUCAUGGUUUCACGGUAUUGCAAUGAGAACAAUUUAAAACCCUUAGCGAGAAUCAAGUGGAGGACAAGUCUGGUGCCAGCACCCGCGGUAAUUCCAGCUCCACUAGCGUAUAUUAAAGUUGUUGCAGUUAAAAAGCUCGUAGUUGAACCUCUGUCUGGGGCUAGUUUUGGCUUUGGUCAGGCUAGUUCUAGGCAUCCGCCUACAAGACUUAGAGGGCAUUCAGUUGUUCACUAGGAGGAGUAGGCAUUUUACUUUGAAAAAAUUAGAGUGUUUAAGGCAGGCAAUCGCCCGCAUAUAUUAGCAUGGAAUAAUAGAAUAGGACACUUUUCCAUUUCGUUGGUUAUUGGAAUCGUGUAAUGAUUAAUAGGGACAGUUGUGGGCAUUUGUAUUUAAUUGUCAGAGGUGAAAUUCUUGGAUUUAUUAAAGACAAACUAACGCGAAAGCAUUUGCCAAGGAUGUUUUCAUUAAUCAAGAACGAAAGUUAGGGGAUCAAAGACGAUCAGAUACCGUCCUAGUCUUAACUAUAAACUAUUCCGACUCAAUGUUUGACUGGCUUAUAUAACCAGUUGAGCGUUGUAUGAGAAAUCAAAGUCUUUAGGUUCUGGGGGGAGUAUGGUUGCAAAGCUGAAACUUAAAGGAAUUGACGGAAGAGCACAACCAGGAGUGGAUUCUGCGGCUUAAUUUGACUCAACUCGGGGAAACUUACCAGGUUAAAACAAUAGUGGGAUUGACAGUUUGAGAGCGCUUUCUUGAUUGGUUGGGUGGUGGUGCAUGGCCGUUCUUAGUUGGUGGAGUGAUUUGUCUGCUUAAUUGCGUUAACGAACGAGACCUUAACCUGCUUACUAGACUGGCGAUCAUCAAUCGUUAGCUCUUCUUAGAGGGACUUUGGUUGUUUUAACUCCAAGGAAGUUUGAGGCAAUAACAGGUCUGUGAUGCCCUUAGAUAUCCUGGGCCGCACGCGUCAUACAAUGACUAGUUCAGAAAGUUUUCUCCUGACCCGAAAGGGGAUGGGUAAUCUUGAUAAUACUAGUCGUGUUAGGGAUCGAUCUUUGCAAUUAUAGAUCUUGAACGAGGAAUUCCUAGUAAGUGCGGUUCAUCAGACCGUACUGAUUACGUCCCUGCUCUUUGUACACACCGCCCGUCGCUUCUACCGAGUGGGUGGUCCGGUGAGAUAAUUGAACUUCGCAGGUAACUGAGAGGAAAGAUUAUCAAACCUAUCCACCUCGAGGAAGAAGAAGUCGUAACAAGGUU